GAUGAACGCUGGCGGCGUGCCUAAUACAUGCAAGUCGAGCGAACAGACGAGUAGCUUGCUCUUCUGACGUUAGCGGCGGACGGGGGAGUAACACGUGGAUAACCUACCUAUAAGACUGGGAUAACUGCGGGAAACCGGAGCUAAUACCUGAUAAUAUAUAGAACCGUAUUGUUCCAUUGAGAAAGACGGUUUUGCUGUCACUUAUAGAUGGGUCGGGGGCAGAUUAGCUAGUUGGUGAGGUAACGGCUCACCAAGGCGACGGUGGGUAGGGGAGCUGAGAGGAAGAGCCCCCAAAAGGGCACUGAGACACGGGACCGACUCGUAAGGGGGGCAGCAGUAGGGAAUAGUGGACAAGGGGUGAAAGCCUGAUCCAGCCAUGCCGCGUGCAGGAAGAAGGCCCUAUGGGUUGUAAACUGCUUUUGAGAGGGAGAAAUAAGGGCGAUGCGUCGCUCGAUGAUAGUACUGCUCGAAUAAGCAUCGGCUAACUUCGUG
rnacentral:rRNA from 1 species